rnacentral:rRNA from 1 species
CCUACGGGAGGCAGCAGUGGGGAAUCUUGCACAAUGGAGGAAACUCUGAUGCAGCGAUGCCGCGUGAGUGAAGAAGGCCUUUGGGUUGUAAAGCUCUUUUGUAGGGGAAGAUAAUGACUGUACCCUAAGAAUAAGGUCCGGCUAACUUCGUGCCAGCAGCCGCGGUAAUACGAAGGGACCUAGCGUAGUUCGGAAUUACUGGGCGUAAAGCGCGCGUAGGCCGUUGAGUUAGUUAAUUGUGAAAUCCCAAAGCUUAACUUUGGAACUGCAAUUAAAACUGCUCGACUAGAGUUUGAUAGAGGAAAGCGGAAUACAUAGUGUAGAGGUGAAAUUCGUAGAUAUUAUGUAGAACACCAGUUGCGAAGGCGGCUUUCUGGAUCAACACUGACGCUGAGGCGCGAAAGUAUGGGUAGCAAAGAGGAUUAGAUACCCUCGUAGUCCAUACCAUAAACGAUGAUUGCUAGAUGUUGGAAAUUUAUUUUCAGUAUCGCAGCUAACGCAUUAAGCAAUCCGCCUGGGGAUACGACCGCAAGGUUAAAACUCAAAGGAAUUGACGGCUGAGAGNGCGACGACGACACGAGGAGAG